rnacentral:misc_RNA from 1 species
CUCCUUUCCGCUUCUUCUAUUUUUCCCUUCACUUCCGCUUACCACUCUUUGCCCAUAUUUCUUAUUCACUUGUUUCAGUAUACACCAGCGAAGCCACAUAUUCACAACCGCAACGAAAGGAUGUCUGCCAACAAUAACUCUGCGGCGGCUCCGAGGAAGGCGCGCCAGGAUAUGCCGAAGCUCGGCUUCUGGGAGGAGUUCAUGAUCAGCGGUGUUGCCGCUGGCGCUGCCAAGACGGCUGCGGCGCCGAUCGAACGUGUGAAGCUGCUGGUGCAGAACCAGGGUGAGAUGAUCAAGCAGGGCACGCUCGACCGCCCGUACAGCGGCGUGAUGAACUGCCUGACGCGCACGGUGAAGACGGAGGGCUUGUACGCGCUGUGGCGCGGCAACCUGUCGAACGUGAUCCGCUACUUCCCGACGCAGGCGCUGAACUUCGCCUUCAAGGACCAGUUCAAGCGUAUGUUCAACUACAAGAAGGACCGUGACGGCUACAUGAAGUGGUUCAUGGGCAACAUGGCGUCCGGCGGUCUCGCCGGCGCUGUGUCGCUGUGCUUCGUGUACUCGCUGGACUACGUGCGUACCCGCCUCGCGAACGACACGAAGUCUGCGAAGAAGGGAGGCGAGCGCCAGUACAGCGGCAUGGUGGACUGCUACAUCAAGACGUUCAAGACCGACGGCCUGGUAGGUCUGUACCGCGGCUUCUGCGUGUCAUGCGUGGGCAUUGUCGCGUACCGCGGCUUCUACUUUGGCCUGUACGACACGCUGCAGCCGAUGCUGCCGGUGGACAACUUCAUUGUGAACUUCAUGCUGGGCUGGAUUGUGACUAUCGUGUCUGGCCUGAUCUCAUACCCGCUGGACACCGUGCGCCGUCGCAUGAUGAUGACGUCCGGCACCGGCAAGAACUACCGCAACUCGUUCGAGUGCUUUAUGCAGUGCGUGAAGAACGAGGGCGCGGCUUCGCUGUUCCGCGGUGCUGGCGCGAACAUUCUGCGUGGUGUCGCUGGUGCGCUGGUGCUGUCCGGCGUUGAUGCUAUCAAGCCGUACUACAUCAGUGCUCGCGCCGCGAAGAAUUAAGGAGUGAGAGCAGUGAGGUUGUUAUGUAACGUAAUGAUUUGUGCUGACUUCCUAGUGGAAAGGGCGUUGGAGUUCGACGGUGGUAUCCGAAGACGAUGUGGAUUGACUUCAAUACGGCACUCCCUGUGUCCCGACACCGACCACAUUCGCCCUGGAGAACGAGAAACUACCUUCUCCACACGGCACUUAGUUUCUGCUCGGUUGCUUUUUUUCCCGGGUAGUGAAGCGGACGAAGCGCCGUCUUUCCUCUCUGGCUUCUUCGAGCCCCUCUCCGAGGUGUGUGACAGUGUGUAUCUGUGUGGUUAUCUUUCUCGUAGCUGCGCACGCCAGUCUUUGUGGGGGUUGUGUGUUGAUGCGCGAGUUCGUGUGCACCUCACGUCUCUCUCACCUUGUCACCGCUCACAUCUUCAAGGCACGCCGUUGUUUUUGCCGUUCGCGAUGUGUGUUGUGUGUGCUUUCCAAGGACCGGGAUUUGAGGGAGGGUGCGCGUGUGUGUAUGCGUGCUGGCGUAUCUCGUACGCGGUGGAAUUCCAAUGAGAGCAAUGUAAUGUUAGAGGCACAAGUGCGUCUGUGUGUGCGUGUGUCUGUGCGUCUGUUGAUGAGGAUUUAAUGUUUGCUACGUCUUUUUCCUCUCUCUCACAUCGGUUUUCCUCUGACUUCUCAUUUUUCAUCUCGUUUUAACUCCCCCCCCCCGGGGAGGUGGGGGGGGGCGAAAAGGAGAACAAACAAAAAUAAAGUUCGCGACUUGUCUUUGGCUAACAUAAAAACACGCUCAUUUUCCACUCUAUUUUUGUUUCAGUCUGCCUCUUUGUCUUUGUGCUGUUGACUUUUCUUACGCCCUCCCUCCCCAUACGUACGUGAGUCUGUCUCUCCCUCUUCGCCCCCCUCCUCCUCCCUGUGCGUGCGCGUGUUCGCAUCUGUGAGCAUGUGUCAGAGUGAUAAUGCUGGUGUGCGUGUGUGCAUGUGCUUCGCCUGUUUUUUUUUCUUUUGCUACCGUGCGAUGCCAUACACACGUGUAUGGUUAGCACUUUUUGAUGUGAAGGCGCAGUGCUGCGUGUAGGUGCAUGUGGAUGUAUAUGUGUGUGCGUGCGUGCGAGUGUCUGCGGUUCAGAGUCCACGUUUGCCUUCGGGCACGAAACCAACUGAGUGUUUUUGCAUGUGUAUUUGCGUAGGUUUGCGUGACGAGUAUCUGCUUUUCUUGCGCCUCCCCUUCCCUCAACGUGCAGGACCAUAUCCGUCUUGUUCCUCAUCGUGCCUGACCGUCCACCAACUCUCCUCCUUGCUCGCUCCACGCCGCAGCUUUCGUCGCUCGAUUUACUUCCGAUUUCACCUUGUAUGCAUUUCGCACCCACUCGCCAUUAUCUAUUUUCCUAUUUUCUCGACGUAUUUCUGGGGGUAACCGAACGGUUUCCUCGAACAAAGAAGGCGCGCUUCCACGUAGAGGAGGAGAACAGCGAAAUGGCCGCACCGUACAAUCACGUGCGUGCUCACGUGCGCCUCUUCACCACUCACUUGAGCGCACAUGCGUGUGUACACACAAGAACACACACGCUGACGUGCAUGUGCCACUCCUCCUCACGUUGAAGAAAGGAAGAGAGGAGGAGCUACCUAUCACCUCCCUCCUUUACUCUUUCUUUCUCUUCUGCUUUCACAGCAUCGGCGCACGUGUCUGCGUGGGUGAUAUGCGUAUGCCUAUGUGUGUCGCAGGAAGGAGGUGGCGAAGACACUGUAGAGAAAGCGGAAAAUACACUGGUAAGUCGGGCUCUCACCUCCUCACCUCCCUGUCGCCCCUUCAUCGUCCUCGCCGCUCCUCUCUGUGACCCCGAGGCACUCCUUUCCCACGUCUCCAAUGGGCAUAUGUACGGCAUGGAAGCGGCCUUCCCUUGCUCCUCUCUCCGCCUCAGUGUAGUCGGGCAGCUUCGCAGUAAGGAGAGACAAAGGAGGAGGCGCGAGAAACAC